rnacentral:tRNA from 1 species
GCGGAUAUAGUUCAUCGGCAGAACGGCGGCUUCCCAAGCCGCGAAGGUGGGUUCGAUUCCCAUUAUCCGCUCCA